UCUUUAAAGGAUCAAAAAAAGCAAAAUCAUUUUUUUCAACAACUAAGUAAAAAUAUGGGCGCAUGCGUUUCGCUCUGUUUAUCAGUGGAUUCCAAAAACGAGAAUCUCGUGAUCUCCUCGCCGGUCAAACCGAGCUCCUUCCCGGUCAACGGCCGGGAUCAUUCCGCCGCCGUGUUGGCCGUCACAGCAAGCCUCUCUCUUCCCGGUUCCCGCGGCGGAGGUAGCAAGGAUGAUGCGUUCUUCGACUCACAACCCUGGUUGGAAUCGGAUUGUGAAGAUGAGUUUUUAACUGUAGAUGGUGGUAAGAGAUCCGUCUUUUGGAAUUUCACAUUUUGCGUUUGAUUAACAAUACAUUGUUGGAUCUCUUCCAAGCAAAGAGUUUUUAUGUUUAUUAUA